CGCCCGCGCCGCCACUAUGCGCUAAUUACGAAUUCGUCUCUAGCCAGAGACGUACCGUAGUUAUCCUUCGUAGCUUUUAGCGCCCCUACGAGAAAGCCAUCGAAUCGCCUCACUGGACUCCGGGUGCUGAUGGGGCUUCCGUGGAGGUGUAGUGCAUCGGGGAUGUUUGCCGAGGCUCAGAUGGACGUUUCAUGGCCAUCAUGAGGAAAAG